CGUCUGCCUCCUCCCGUGCGAUCCCCGCCUCCCGCUCGUGCGCAAGGAUGUAAAAAUGGAAAGCCAAUCACCUCGCCUAAUCCUGCCCGAUUCUCUAGCCAGCGCACAAUCAUCUCUCCCAAUCCCGGGCAACGAUGCCCUCGCCCGAUGAAAGUCUCCCCCGCGUUCGGUGCCGUGCUCACACAACGUGACCCCGUCCUCUCCCGCUGUCCAUCCCUUAGUGCCGCCGCCCUCGCAGCAGGCUCUCCACGCAGGACAUCGUAACUAUGCGUCGCCGCCCUCGUAGCAGACUCUCCGCCCAUGGCAACUGACGAGCUCUCUGCCAUCUCAAGUGUCCAAGCGCGGGCAAGGAGGAAGAGGAAUUGUGUGCCGCCGCUGCGCCUACUCGAUCUCUCCCCUGCCCCUCACCCCACGCCUCCGAGGCCAUGGUGGGACCAUCCUCGACCAUAGCGGUCCCCAUCCUCUCCCGAUAGUGGCCGCGACGCCCUUCCCCAUCCUGACAGCCUUGCGUUCGUGGGUGUUGGUGAUGGGCAGCCGUCCUCGAGGCUCUGGAUCCAUGCUGGGCGGAUGCGGCAGUGGCAGAUUCCCUCGGGACGGGUAAGGAUCGCGGUGGGGCUGGUGCCAGUCAUGGACGUGGAUGAGCUCCAGCUCUACUCUGGCACUGGAGGGAGUCGGCCAAGGUUUGGAUAUGGAUUUGAUGGUUAGCCACCGUUUGCUUGAUUAGUUCUCUAUGAAUUCUUCAAUGUUCAGGGCAUCAAGGCAGGAGGAGGUGCGGAUGAGGAUGCGAGCAGUCGCAUGCCGUGGUCAAUCUCGAGCUAGAACUGUGAGCCACACCCUCAUUCAUCGGUUGGAGCAACAAUUGCCAUGAACCCCAUCAGGGGUCCCCAGUUUCAGUGCCAGAGGUCUGACCAGCGGACAGUAGCAUGGGGUGAGAACUCCACAACUCUGCUUCCUAUGAAUCUUAUUUGUUCAAGGACCAAGCAGCAGCUGGGAAUGAGUUUUAGUGAAAUCAUGUGUACAUUAUUGAGGCUCAUAAAGUUGCAAGCUGGCUAAGUGUGGACGUGUGGAUUGUAAACUGAUGAGGCUAUUGGAUUAGAGUAUUAGAUGUUUCCUACUGCUAAUUUGGUUCUCAUCAUGUACUGGUUUCAUGUAUGGUUACUGAUGAUGCCAAGAUAUUGAUUUUGGGCACCUGAACCUUGUUAUUGGACACAGGAGAGCUUGACCCAAAUGGCAAUACACAUGAGAGCUUUAUUAUAAUAGUUUUUGCAAACUUGAGUGUAUGUACCAAUUAAUUUCUAUCUAGAGUGGUUAAUUAUAUUUCUUCUAAUUUUUAACUAUUAUUAUAUAAUUCCAAGCAACAUAAAAGGUGAGGUUGUGCCUAUUAUAAAUGCAUUGGAAAAGAGAAACUGACCACCCAUCAUCACUAUGAUCAUACUGUGGAAAUGUGGAAAUGAAGGCAAAAUAUGGUGCAAAGGUAUAGCUUUGGGCUAUUUAUUUUGUUCUUCCUUUUCUGUAUCAUUCAGUGACUCUAUGUAACAGUGACACAAUCAAAAUUUGUAUUGUUUAUGAUGAAGCCAAUAGGGCUAUACUCAGGGAUGGACUUGUCAUGAGUGUUUUUUAUAGCAUAUAUUAUUAUUAUCGAUAAAGUACUUGUUAAAUAGAUAAAUUUGUUUCCCUACCUCUAUGCUGUAAUUUCAGAUUGUAUCUGAUAGGAAGUACAUUUGUUACUGUGACAAAAUAUCAGCAAUCAUUGCUAACAAAGUCUCAAAAGGCAUGUGCUUAGAUGAAGUUUCAGAAAUUGUAAUUCUAUCUUUUUAGUAAAUUACCAUAUUCUGGAAGUUUAGGGUGCUAGCUGCUGUUAACAUGUUGAAUGGAUGCAAAAAGACACAAUUUUGAAAGGAACAAAAUGACAAAUGGAUGGUGAACUUGGUGUUUUAUUGAUGAAGUUCUGUUCUGUUGACACAUGGUGGGAAAUUUAGGAUAGUAUGAAAAUACAUGCUCGAUGUAAUGUCACAUCAUUCUGUUUAAAUGAUCUCUAGGGGUGUGAUAUUUGCAUUAUUUUGUAUUCAAAGGAAGUGUGUACAGAGGUCCUGAUUGAUGUCGUGGAUCAGCAGCCACUACCCAAACCCUUAUGUUCCUUUUAUCUUUGUGUCAUUGUCAUACAUUUUUCUUAUUCCAGGUUAUCUAUUUAUUUUGUUGGCGCUUUAUCUACUUUUUAUAAGUGUGUAGAAUAAUGUACCAUAAUGCUGAUUUAUGAAUGAGCCACAUGCUCUACUUGCAGCUUUCUUUUGAAGAUGACUGAUAUUUUGUUUGUUCGUCGAAAUCUCCUUAUCCAACACUCCCCUGCUAGGCUCAAGAUGAUUUGAGUACUAUCAGUGAAUUCAUGUGUGUUAGAGGCGGAGGUUCAGAAGCUAAGGAAGUGAUUGCCUUCAGCAUUGUGAAUUGAGAUGGAUAACAUAUGCACAGUUGCACACAGAGUUUUCAAGUGACCAAGAGAGCUCCGGCCAUGGUAGACAAGACGAACGAGCCUGGUUUUUGUCAUAUGUUUACUGGGCUGAUGCAAUGAUUAUUUUUGUGGUGGAUUUUCCAGGGUGAUGAUCCCGCAUCCAAUCACACGGUGCCCCAAGCGUCUCCUCUCCCCCACGCCUUGCUUGAUGAUCCCGCCCCAAAUCACGUGGCGCCCAGGGAAGGCAAGAUCAAUCCGACAAGCCCGCAUUCCUCGCUCUGCCCUCGCCCUCAACCUUGCAACAGUACGGGUGCAUGCUCGUCGCAUCUGUGUCGUGCACUCGUGACAUGCAUAUUGUCCUGCUCGCUUGUCGUCAUGGAAGACGACCCCUGAUAGAAGGAAACUCCUGUACUCCUCUCCUAUGCCAUGCCACAGGUACUGUUCCCCCUCCCCUUCAUCCCUUUCUACUGCAAUAGGAUCGAGUUGUCCUCUUGGUUGUACAUCAAGGUUGUCCCGAUCUGGUGCUAUUAUGAUCAGGUUCAUUCUACGUGCACCACAUGCACGUGAGCGUACGAGCGUUCACGAAUUUUGCUUUUUGGAUUAAAUGUCACUUUAACAUCGAUAUUUAAUUUUAUAAUAUUAUUAUUUUAUCGU